AUAUCACUAUUCAAAAUGCUGCAUUCUACGACGCGAAAACGACCACAUUUCCAUUGAACCACAUUAAAGUUGAUUGCGGUGGCAAUUUUUAAUAUAGAUUACUUUAACGGGCAUAUAAAAACCGUAUUAGAAACCUGCCUUCUUAGAAACCUGCGUUCCACGACGGUUUUUCAUAAGACCGUCGUAGUUUAAUUUCUCUUCCAACAAAGCCACUCAUGUCUCAUUCAUUCACACACUCACUCAUGCUCACACUCGCAGUAGAGAAAAAAUCCUAAAAUUUCAUCGCCACAAUGAACAUACAUUGACGACAACGAAGACCUUGACCUUGGGGACGUCGAACUCGACCCGAGUAGCGGACUCUGAAGAAGGUGGUUCACUCUUUUUCAGAUCUAAUCGAAGAAAGAAAUAGAUGAAGCGCUAAAACUGUCAUGUGCGAAAGACACGAAGGAGAGGAUCGCGGGUGUGGAGUGCCUAUCCUGUUCUAAAACAUCCAGAUGACCUUUAUCCUCUGUUGAAAUUGAAAAUGGUGGCGAGGAAUGCCGAGAAGUUGAGAAAUUUGCUACAUCGAGCUUGCAAAUGGAGGUUUGGUUCCUGUUAGUGAAGCUCUUAAGUUAAUACAACUCAGAACUCAGUUUUGCCUAAUUCAAGUUCGGUUAAUAAAAAGGCAUGUGCAGUGCACGUGUGUAUAAGUUACUUUGAUUAAAGCUUUGCUUCUUUCCCUCCCCCGUGGAAGAGGUCUUAAGAGAUUUCAAGGGUGGCAGAGCUACUUUGAUUAAAGCCCUCAGCAACGUUCCCCAUAUGUUUAAGAGUUCUACCAGCAGUGUAAUUCCGUUUUGAAAAUAUCCCUGCGGCUAUUUCCUGUUCAUAUUCAUUCAGGCGCAGAUUUGAGAACAAGGAAGAGAGAAGCACAUGAAGCUGUAUAUGCAAUGUGUUGCAACGUGGAACAAGCCUGGGGUAGGGUGAGACUUGUGAGAAUGCAUGGCUCUAAAUUCUCAACCAUUACAGUAACCGUCUCGUGAAGGCGGUGAAAGAAAAGUCUAUAGGUUGUCAAGUAUUAUGGAUUCAAGAUUGCCCAGAUGCAGUCACUUAAUUACCAUGAAUUCAGGGGACAGCAGGGUCAAUAUAAUUCUCCUGUGGAGCAUGCUUCAGUGAAACCAGAAACUAUAACAUAAUUAAUAUGCUUUAUGAAAUUAAUCUUCAAAAUUAGUAUUCAAAUUUUAAAUUUUAAUAUUUAAAAUGGUCUACUUACUGCUGAUGCAAUGAACAAAAUUGUUUUAAUUGUCAAUAUUUGUCUCUUGAAGUAUGGUGGAGACAUACCAAGCUCAAUUGAGAAACUACUCUUGCCGGCAGGAAUAGGUUCUAAGAUUGCUCAUCUAGUACGUACAAAAUGCUUAUGAGAUUCAAAAAUCAUUUUUUUUGUUAAAAUAAUUAUUUGGUAGGACACAUUAGGAAUUAGUCCCUGGCACAGAUUGUGAUUUAAUUUGAU